GGCGCAGCUCCCGGCGAUGACCUCAGGCAGCUGAGCAAUUAGAGCCCCGCGCACCAGUGCUGUGCUGAGCGGGAACACAGCCCCGCGCCAGCCUUUAAUAUGAAAAUGAAGAAGGGAAACAACAAAUCCAAUAAACCGGCGAAGUCAAACAAAGCCAACUGGGAGUUCGUUUGGCGAUAAGAGCAAGGAAGAGAGGCGGCUGAUAAAGCCGGGUGUUUCUCCGCUGGCCCUGUCUGCCACGGGUCUGUCAGGACUGAGUGGCUCGGGAGGCAGCCUGGACUCACCCAGGUGGGAAAACCACCUCAGGGAAUGAGGACACAUGCGAGUGCUUCAUUUGCAGCCGGGGAGAACAGGCGUGUUUCUGCCCCUUUCCCAUUUCCAGGCAUCUGUAAGCGCUUUGCAAAGCAAAUGAGUUUGCUCCACAGUGGGCCAAGGACGCAGAGCCCAGGGAGCAGGUCGGCAGCUUCUGCUCACCUUCAUUUGAAACAGCAUUAUCCUGCUGAGAGUUUUGAAGUCAUAAAGUCACCCUCCGCUGCCAAGAUCCUCCAUCUGAAGAUCUCCAGCAGACGCCGACCGCAGCACCUCGGCACCGUAUCAAUUGAGCUCAGCCACUGUACAGCCCAGCAAAGCUCAGUCCUGUCACUGUGCAAACACUUUACUCCCAAAGAAGAGGAUCCCUACAAGAUCUCGGCCAACUUCAGAGCGCUCUGAGUAAGGUAUUAAGCCAACAUCAGCGCCUACACCAGCGCUCGUACCAGUCUGAGUUAAUCAGUUUAAACCCAUACCUUUAGAUAAAUACUUGUGUGCAGACAGACGGUGAUUCAGGAUUUGAUCAAAGCUCAAUGAAUACAAUGUGAAUGAACGUGCGGUCUGAACAAAUACAUAAAUAAACAGAAAAGAGACAAUAAAGGAUCAGUGGCCAUUCUCCUUGAAGACCAGGCACGGUGCUCAGAAAACCCCAGAGUCAGCUCUAAAGGGAUUACACGGAUUUGGCAGGGAAUCUGCUGCUCUGGAAGAUGAGGAGCUCAUCAGGAGUACAUUACCCUGGAAAAAUCCCCCAGCACUGGAAGGUCCCCACAUAGCCUGGAUUUGGAAUACCUUAACCCAUGGCUGUGCAACCUUCUGGCUUGCCUGGGCUGCAGUGAGUGAAGUGGAAUUGUCUUGGGCUGCAUAUACAGAGGUUGCACCAAAAGUAAUGCCUCCUAUUUAUUUCCCCAGAAACUACAACCAAUAUAACAGGCACAACAACACUAUUUGAUAGAGCAAAUUCUCUGCUACAAAACACUAUCUUUCAUCAGAGCCACCGUCAUUAGCUAUGCAUUUUCACCAGCAGUGAACAAAAGCCUGUAUGUCAUACUCCUCAAAACCUGUACCACUGGAGGUGACCCACUGUCACCACUGCUGAAACACACCACCCAUUGCCUCACUGUGCUCACAUCCGCUGUUUGGUCUCUACAAACAUGCAGCAAGCAUCGGUGAAUGCCACUUUUCUGUAUGAAGGAAUCCAAUGACACCCCUUUGCUUCAUAUGCACUUCCACAUAUUAGAUGUCACUUUGUCAGACUGCCCCUCUGCUGCCAUCUGUCACAUGGUAACAACAGGAACCAUGACAGAGGUUCUAUCUCCGAACACAAUUUUCUCAAGAAACACUCUGUAAAUGCCACUGAACUUACACGACGAAAGAUCUGCAGAACAAGGGCCUUAGCAGAGAUAAGUAAUCACAAGAAAAAGAUUAGGCAACAGCAAGCCUACAGGCGGAAGUGGCGUAUUGGGAUUGCAGUGGCAUGACUACAAAGCUUCAGAGGAGAGUGCACAAUUCUCACUUCAGUUCUGAUUUCUUUCUUCUGGCUCAUUUUUAGGCCAUAUAGUAUAUUUUAACCUUACUUCUUGUUUUUCAGGGAGCUCUCCUACACUUUUCUUUGUCUCUGUUUUCUCAUUCUAUUCCCUUCCAGGGUUUCUGCACUUUCUGUUCCAGAAAUCUCUUGCAGGAUCUGAUUCUGCAGAUGAUGCUGUAACCAGCAGUCAUAUUUUAUCCUGUGCCUGCUGAAACAAAUGAUGGAACUGCUAUUCCAGUAAGGGAGUCGUGAAUAUGGAUCAUAGCUCAGAAGAUGAACACCUCCAACUGUGCAUGCAAAGAACAUCUGAAUUGAUUUUCCAAGGAGGAGAAGUACAGAACUCAAAGUGCUCCUUUGGUAGGAUGUGUGUGCUCACACUGAAACUCAGGCUUUCAGAAUCAAUUCACAAACUCCUGUAACUCUGUACUAUUUAAACACGGAUUCAGAAGGUUACAUCAUUUCCUCUGACCCAUGCAAAGAUAAGACACAGGACCAUCAGACAGUAGGUGCUUGAUCUGUUUUGUAGGGUUUGCAGCGAUCUGACUAACAUCACUUAUAACCCAUCAAAGACACUCCACAGCUCAGUCCUGAGCCCUCUUAGGAUGCAACAAUCCUCCUACAGAGUGCACAGUUCGGAUAUCUAUACUGUGCAGAGAAGCAUUACAAAUGGACAAUUGCACAGGAUUAAUCCUGCUCAGAUUGCAUGCCCUGUGGCCUCUGGAUGACGGCCAGCUCCACAUCAUUACCGCCUCUGAACAAGAAGAAGAGCCUCAUCUGGGGCAAGAUACAGCCUGCAAAACAUUGCUAAGAGUUAACAGUUUGUCUCUAUUGCGGCCUGCUGUAGGAAUGCACACUGAGAACCAGUCCUGUGUCACCUUAUUUUGUCUUCAAGCAAUCAUGUAAAGACAGAGGAACUGCUCUGUAAGAGUGUGGCAGCAUGCAACAAGAUGUCUAUGAAUGAAUCUUCUCUCAGAGAAAGGCACAACAAGAAUAGGUGGAAGUUGAAGCCAUAUUGAAAAAAAAAAAAUCCAAUGUGAGAACUCAGAACUAUAUCUUCACCAGUGGGGUGAAGAGCGUGCCAGCACAGUGCAGCAGCCUUGCUGCUAGCUUGCCCAGGAAGGCCUCCUGCUACACCUUUCAACCCAAGGAGAACCAAGGAACCUUCACCAACACAAACUGUACUUCCCGCUGACCUUGCAGAUAACUGCGAACCAAAACACUCAGCCCUCUAAUUUCUGUUCCUGAUGGAGCUUUACAAGAUCGAGCUAAAUUUAACGAGGAGGAGGAGGAAGGUCACUCUGAAAAUCUUUCCAAACAUUUCUCUCCUGUGGCGGAAGGGAGGGUUCAGGUGCAGGAAGAGUCUACAGGCACAAGGACCUGCUGGAUCAGCCUCCUUGGCCAGAGAUCCAUUACUGUCCCACACCACCCUGCUCCUUCCCCGUCAGUCCCAUAGCAUCCCCACAUCGUGACAAGGGUGUGAGGUGGUGCUGGGACGUACCAUGAAUGCUCUGUAGAUGCCGGAGGGCAUUAAAAAAAAUAAAAUUUGCAUUUGU
rnacentral:lncRNA from 1 species